rnacentral:rRNA from 1 species
UACGGAAGGCAGCAGUGGGGAAUAUUGCACAAUGGGCGAAAGCCUGAUGCAGCUAUGCCGCGUGUAUGAAGAAGGCCUUUAGGGUUGUAAAGUACUUUCAUCGGGGAGGAAAAAACAAAACUAAUAAUUUUAUUUCUUGACGUUACCCGAAAAAGAAGCACCGGCUAACUCCGUGCCAGCAGCCGCGGUAAUACGGAGGGUGCUAGCGUUAAUCAGAAUUACUGGGCGUAAAGAGCACGUAGGUGGUUUUUUAAGUCAGAUGUGAAAUCCCUGGGCUUAACCUAGGAACUGCAUUUUGAAACUGAAAUACUAGAGUAUCGUAGAGGGAGGUAGAAUUCUAGGUGUAGCGGUGAAAUGCGUAGAUAUCUGGAGGAAUACCUGUGGCGAAAGCGGCCUCCUAAACGAAUACUGACACUGAGGGUGCGAAAGCGUGGGGAGCAAACAGGGAUUAGAUACC